rnacentral:misc_RNA from 1 species
UGUGACAAAAUUUUUACGUUGGUUAUCACUUACUGCAACCUUCCUUUUUUAUCCGAAUUUGGAGCCGGCUAAGCAUAAACUACUUGGGUGGAGUUAGCAUUUCAAUUGUUCAUUUUUUUUCAAAAUGCUUCACCAGUUUCUCUUUCAUAUUUUAAGUCAACUUUGUAAUAUUUGAAGCUUUUUCAUCAAUCUCCAUCUUUCCAUACAUUUAUGACUAAAAUGUAUAGAAUAGCUCUCUUUCUUUUGCUUUUUUUUUUCUUUUUAAAUUUUUAACCCAUCUACGCAUUGCAGGGGUUGAUUGUGGGACUUGGUUUUUUGGUUGGUGUUUUGUUAUUUUGGUUUUGAAUAUCAAGUUUGUUGCCCUUUUCCAGUUGUCAUUUCACCUGUUUUGGGCACAUAACAGUUAUAUGUACAUGUGGGAACACGCAAGUCCUCCAUAUUAAUAAUUUUGAGCAUUAUAUUGUCCUUCUUUCUCAGCAAAUUGCUGGAAUUUAGUAAUUUUUGGAAUGGACAAUCAAAUGGCAUAAAUCAUUUAAUUGAUAUCUUCAAUAGAAACCCACCAUUUGCCUAACACAUGAAAUCUUAUUUUCUUCGAGUGUAGCAAUCACUAUAACGAUUUGGUUCUCACUGCAGAUCCGCAAGAGGCUUUUUGGUC